UCCCUGGCAAUUGGAACCACAACUGGAUACAGGCUUUUCUCCUUGAGUUCUGUGGAGCAACUGGACCAGGUCCAUGAAAGCAAUGAAAUCCCAGAUGUUUACAUCGUGGAGCGUCUGUUCUCCAGCAGCCUUGUGGUUGUGGUCAGUCAUGCCAAGCCACAGCAAAUGAAUGUCUACCACUUCAAGAAAGGGACUGAGAUCUGCAACUAUAGCUAUUCCAGUAACAUACUGUCCAUCCGGCUGAAUCGUCAGAGGCUGGUUGUUUGCCUGGAGGAGUCAAUUUACAUCCAUAACAUUAAGGACAUGAAGCUUUUGAAGACUAUUCUGGAUAUGCCUCCAAAUACAACAGGUCUGUGCGCUCUCUCGAUCAACCACGCCAACUCCUACUUGGCUUAUCCCGGCAGUGCGACCAGCGGAGAGAUCGCGCUUUACGAUGGAAAUACUUUGAAAACGGCCUGCACGAUUCCUGCCCAUGAUGGGCCUCUGGCUGCUCUCGCCUUCAACUCCACUGGCUCGAAGCUGGCAAGUGCUUCCGAAAAAGGCACAGUCAUUCGUGUGUUUUCCAUUCCUGGUGGGCAAAAGCUCUAUGAAUUCCGGCGAGGGAUGAAAAGGUAUGUGAACAUCAGCUCCCUGGUGUUCAGCAUGGAUUCCCAGUUCCUCUGUGCUUCCAGCAACACGGAGACCGUACACAUCUUUAAACUGGAGCAUCUCACUGACAGCCGGCCAGAAGAGCCUCCAACCUGGAGCGGUUACAUGGGAAAGAUGUUCCAGGCUGCUACCAACUACCUCCCUGCUCAGGUAUCGGGCAUGAUGAACCAGGAUCGAGCCUUUGCCACUGUCCGCCUGAACAUCUCCGGACAAAGGAACAUCUGCGCUCUCUCCACGAUUCAGAAGCUGCCUCGACUGUUGGUGACUACGUCAGAUGGACAUCUCUAUAUCUAUAACUUGGACCCGCAAGAUGGAGGGGAGUGUGUCUUAAUAAAGAAACACAGUCUGCUUGGCUCAGGAAAGAUGGAGGAGAACAAAGAAAAUGACCUUCGGCCUCCAUUACCUCAAUCUUACGCAGCAACUGUAGCCAGACAAAGUACAGUGCCUUCAACUUCAACCAUGCCAGGUUAUUCGGAGGACGGUGGUGCCCUGCGAGGAGAGGUUAUCCCAGAGCAUGAGUUUGCAACUGGACCAGUGUGUCUUGAUGACGAGAAUGAGUUUCCUCCUGUGAGCAUUCGGGACCCCUAAAACUGCAAUUCAGCCCUCAUGCUAAGAAGAAAGUAUUAACCUCUUACAGAAGAGAUACUGUUGCCCCCACCUUGUCCCAGCUCACUGUGAAGCCUAAAAUAACUAAUUAAGUUAUAGGGACAGUGCCAGGAAAAGUACACCCCCACUAAAUGGCAGCUAGGGAUGGGGCAAAGAUGAUCAAACCUAAGAACUAGAGAUGGAUCUGAACAAACUAGUUGAAUGAAGUGCAGAUGCAGAAUGACGUUCAGCUCCAGAUCUGACCUUUGUGCCUUGCGCAGAUUUUUAGUAUUACCAGGAAUAGCUUGAAUUUGAACAAUACCAUCAUUUAGAAAUAAAAACUUAAUACUCCCUGUUGCGUUUACAGUCAGUUGUAUUAGUUUAUGGAAUGCAACUGGGACAUACCUGAACCUCACCAGUCUCUUCAUUUCCAAGCUAACUGAAAAGGAAACUCCUUUUUCAAGUACAAAGAUGAAAGGCAUAGCAGAGUUUUAAACCGUUUUAUGAUUUUUAUAUGGCACUUUCUCAGUUACUGUUGGAAGAAGAUACUGGCUUUUUAAAAUCUAACUUAAGCCUGGCAGUGUCUCUCCGGCUCCUUUUCCUAUUACACACACAUUUAUUAUGUUAAGUAUCUAACCCCUAAAUGGACAGAUGUUGGUACCGUGCUAUGAUCUGGUUGUAAUCAGCGGUGUCUUCGUAAUAGUAAUGCAUUAAUACAGCAGAAUAUUGUAAUGCAUUUCAAGUUGUAGACUUGGCAGACUUUUGAAUCCCUUACUCCGUUUUUACAUAUCCUGCUGUUGGAGUUUUGCCUGAAAAGGAGGAAGUAAAAACUUUAUCGGGAUCCCAGGAUUUGUUCCAUAUGCUGAGGCUGACCUUUGUGAGGCACUUCCCUAUUAACUGAUGCAAAGUGUUAUUUAGAUAAAAGGUGACUAGCUCAUGACUCCCUUUGAAACAACACUGCCUAAAUCCAACUCGGGUUGCAUAAACCUGAGACCAAUUCUCUUUUCUUACCGGUGACAUAACCUGCUGCAAACUGAGAACAAGAGUUUUCUAGUUGUCCUACCCCAUUACCCAAGAAGGACAUUUAAAAUGUCCCUCCUCUGGUCAAAGUCGUGUGGCCACGGAGAAGCUGGUGGCCCAGGCACCUGGAAGGAGCCGCGGGGCCAGAGAGAAAUCCUUUGCUUCCUUCUGAUGAACCUGCUCUUGAACAUGUGGUUCGGGGACAAGCGAAUGCCAGCAAGCAGGAAUCACGCUGCUCCUGAAUGAGCCUUCCUGCUGGGACCAUGCCAUAUAAAAGCAGCCCCAAACCCCUGCUGUACGACAGCAGGUGCUUUAUCAAAUGAACUUUGAUCUGCCAAAAUCCUGUGCUGUAAUGAACCUGACAGAGCAACUUACAUGUGUAAAGUUAGGGAGGAGGUGGUGUGGGAGGGAAGGCGCUUUCCAAAAAUAUUCCCUGAUACGGUGGCUUAGCAAUUGGAGCUUCCAGAUGCAGUCUCUGCAGCUAGGACUUUGGUUUUGCCGCUCCGUUGCUGACGGUAAUGUGUUUUGCUUCUGGUCUACCAGCUAGUGCAGCGCUGGCUCCCACUGCGUGAGUGCAUAAGGAGAGUUGGUCGGGAUGUUUUGAUGCUCUGAAUUUCACUGAACUUCACUGUUUUCUCAGCACUGAGAUGUUCGGUCUCAAUGACACGUUCAAGGGGGGUUUCAGGCAUCGGUCACUUCUGUGUGGAGAAGGAGGGAGAGAAAACCUGACCUUAUCCAACAAAAAUGUUUUGAUAGCAUUCUGCUUUGCGGAAACAUGGGAAGGGUUUUGUUUGUUUUCCAGUGUGCAAGAAAAAGACAUUUAAAAACCUCAAAACUUGUGACAAAAUGGAAUAUUCACCCGCAGCCCACGCCACGAGUACGGCUUUGAACUUAGACAUACUUUUGGAGAAACAGCAGUGCUCAGACCCAGCAGUUCCUCUCCAUUUUGAAACAUCUUGCCUUCCCCUGACCUCAAGCAAGACUUCAGAGGCUCAGCUGUUCAGAGCGAGGAAAAGCAGCUUCAGUCUAACAUUAAAUCUGUUGCUGAUUGUCGAAAACUGCCUCUUCAUUAAACAGAAGGAGGGACAGAUCAGAGAAGAGAUGAGAAGCCCAAGGAGGGCUCAUAAAAAGUGGCCUCAACAAGAGCGAAUGUGGAUGUUGCUACUGAUUGUGCCAGGACUGCUGAAGGAUCCUGCGGCAAGAGAUAAUCUUGUGCCGUGGAGGUCAGCCGGGCAAAGCGAAGAGGUCAUGAUGAGAAGCAAACAUCCGCACUUGGGACAGCUGCUGGGAAGUGCUUUGGAAAAGCCAGGAAUUUCGAAGAACACAUUUGUGACUCCGCAAGACGAGGGGAAAAAAAAAAAAAUCCAAGGUGGGCCACUGCUUUUUCCUACGGUAUGUUUAAGUGACUACCUGGCCCCGCUAGCCCCUUGUUUUAAUUUGUGUCUGGGUGGGGUGUCAAUGUACUGUAUGCACAGCGCUAUAUUUAACAAACUACAUGUUAGAACCACAAUGUAAAUGCUAAUUUAAUCAGAUUUGUAUGUAACCAGAAUUUUAUAUACCCGUUUGUCCCUUUUCUAAUUUAUGCUGGUUUAUGUGUAUAAAUGUACUUAUAGGAAGAUAUAUUAAACUUAUGUCUUUGUACAGUAUAUACAUACUAUUUUACCCAGGCAAAGUAUUUUUGCAGUGAUAUUACAGAAGAUGCCAUUUGCUAUGUUUAAAGACAGAAUAAAGUCACGGUCUGUCCCUGGC